UACGUAGGGGGCAAGCGUUGUCCGGAAUCAUUGGGCGUAAAGCGCGUGUAGGCGGCCUGAAAAGUCCGCUGUGAAAACUCGAGGCUCAACUUCGAGCUGUCGGUGGAAACUUUCUGGCUAGAGUCCGGAAGAGGAGAAUGGAAUUCCUGGUGUAGCGGUGAAAUGCGCAGAUAUCAGGAAGAACACCCGUGGCGAAGGCGGUUCUCUGGGACGGUACUGACGCUGAGACGCGAAAGCGUGGGGAGCGAACAGG
rnacentral:rRNA from 1 species